GACCCCAAAUGCAGAGGAGCCCCUUGAACUCUUAGUUGCUGGUGGCUCCCCAGGUGCCACCUCCUGAGUCCUGGUUCCUGCGGCUCCGUCGAAUCUGCAGUGAAGGCCUUUGGGAAGCGUGGGUUAUGUGGGUCCAGGGGUCCCAUCCUCCCGUGGAGGCCCUUGACCUGAGGAUCACUAACUCACACCCCACCGACUUCCGGCCCCCAACAAGGGCAGUGUUCCUCUUGCUCCAUUCUGCUCUGAAGUCCCCCAAACCGCUUCCUGGGGCUGCUUAGUGAAAUACAAGGCUCAUCUCUGAGGACCUCUACAGGGCUGGAUGGGAAGGACUGAUCCACAUUCCCACCAGGAAGUUUAGCAGAACCCCCGCGUGCCACCUGGACCCCUUGGAAGGACCUGGCUCAGGCUGGACCACCUCUUGAGAGGCAGGAGCUCUGGAUUUGAUCAAGAAUUCUUUGCUGAGCAUGGUGCCUCA
ensembl:lncRNA LINC00511 long intergenic non-protein coding RNA 511